AGCAUGAUUGCUGGAUCAUAUGGUAAGAGUAUAUUUAGCUUUAUAAGAAACUAGCAAACUGCCUUGCAAAGUGGCUCUACCAUUUUGCAUUCCCACCAGCAAU
rnacentral:pre_miRNA from 1 species